UUGCCUUAGUAACGGCGAGUGAAGCGGCAAAAGCUCAAAUUUGAAAUCGGCCAUCAGGUCGAGUUGUAAUUUGUAGAUUGUACUUUGAGAGCGGAUUAAAGUCUGUUGGAACACAGCGCCUUAGAGGGUGACAGCCCCGUAAAAUCUAUUCUCAUUGUAAGGUACUUUCGAAGAGUCGAGUUGUUUGGGAAUGCAGCUCUAAGUGGGAGGUAAAUUCCUUCUAAAGCUAAAUAUUGACGAGAGACCGAUAGCGAACAAGUACUGUGAAGGAAAGAUGAAAAGCACUUUGAAAAGAGAGUGAAAAAGUACGUGAAAUUGUUAAAAGGGAAGGGUAUUGAAUCAGACGUGGUGCUGUUGUUCAACUUUGUUUCGGCAUGGUGUACUCAGCAGUACUAGGCCAAGGUGGGGUGUUUGGGAGUGAAAAAGGAAUAGGAACGUAGCUCUUCGGAGUGUUAUAAUCUAUUUUCAUAGCUCCUCAGGCGCCUCAGGACUGCGCUUCGGCAAGGACUUUGGCAUAAUGAUUCUAUACCGCCCGUCUUGAAACACGGACCAAGGAGUCUAACGUCUAUGCGAGUGUUUGGGUGUAAAACCCGUACGCGUAAUGAAAGUGAACGUAGAUAGGAGCAGUAAAAUGCGCACUAUCGACCGAUCCUGAUGUUUUCAGAUGGAUUUGAGUAAGAGCAUAGCUGUUGGGACCCGAAAGAUGGUGAACUAUGCCUGAAUAGGGUGAAGCCAGAGGAAACUCUGGUGGAGGCUCGUACCGGUUCUGACGUGCAAAUCGAUCGUCAAAUUUGGGUAUAGGGGCGAAAGACUAAUCGAACCA
rnacentral:rRNA from 1 species